UACGAGGGGUGCAAGCGUUGUUCGGAAUCACUGGGCGUAAAGGGAGCGUAGGCGGAGCUCCAAGUCGGUCGUUCAAUGCCGGGGCCUAACCCCGGACCUGCGGCCGAUACUGGAGCUCUUGAGUUAUCUAGAGGCAGGCGGAAUUCCAGGUGUAGCGGUGGAAUGCGUAGAGAUCUGGAAGAACACCAAUGGCGAAGGCAGCCUGCUGGGGAUUAACUGACGCUGAGGCUCGAAAGUGCGGGUAGCAAACAGG
rnacentral:rRNA from 1 species